UGACCCUAGAUAAACCUGAAG
rnacentral:piRNA from 1 species